rnacentral:rRNA from 1 species
AGGUGAUAUAUUGAAAAAUGGUAUAUGUAAUUAAUAUUAUUUUAAGGAUUAUAAAUCAAAAUUUAUAAAUGAUAAAAAGAUUAACUGAAAAGUAAUCAAUCAUAAUCAUGAAAAUGAUAAAAAAUAAAAACAAGUGGAAUGAAACAUCUGAGUAACUUGUAAAAUAACCAACAGGGAUAAUAUAAGUAACGGUGAGUGAAAGUAUUAGAAUCUUAAAGUAUUACCAAGAGGUAAGAAUAUAGUAGUUUCCAACUACUAAGAAAAGAAAAUAAAUUUUAGAUUAAAGUACCGCAAGGGAAAGUAAGAAAAUAGAAUAAUAAAGAGCAAUCAUUGAAUGGUGUACCUCUUGUAUAAUGGGCCAGUGAGUUAUAUAUUUUAGUGAGAUUAAAUUCGAAUAUAAAUAGAAAUUAAUUAAAGUAUAUAGGCCCGAAAGCAAACGAUCUACACAUGCCCAAGUGUAUAUAAAACCUUAUAAGGUAUAUAUAUGACUCAAUAGGUAAUUGUAGCAAUAAUUUCUAAAGAGGUGUGUGUAGCUGUGACAGACAAAUCUGGUUUGCAGAUAGCUGGUUUUCUGCGAAAUAUAUUUUAGUAUAGCCUUUAUAAUCUGUUAAAUUAACAGACAUUUAAACUGGUACAGCACUUAAAUACCUUUGGGGAAUUAGAAUAUAAUUUUAUCAAAAUAUUUAAACCUCGGAAUCAGUGAAUAAUGAAAUAUAAGGAGUCAGACUUAUUGCGAUAAGGUAGUAAGUCGAGAAGGAAACAACCUAGACUAUUAAAUGAAUGUCCCAAAUAUUAAUUAAGUGAAUAAAAUCUAUCCUACUUUAAUUUUUAUGUUAAUAAAAAUCAAAAGUUAAAAUCAUAUGAUUUUACAUUAUUAUAUAUAAAUGCCGGCCUUCGGCCGGCAUUUAUAAGCCUAAUCUUUUAGGCCAUAAUAUACGGGGUAUUAAAUUAUAGACAAUUAGUAAGUGGGUUUGACAAUAAUCAACUUUUAAUGAACAUGUAACAAUGCACUAAUUUUAUAUAUAUAUAUAUAUAAUUUUAUAUAUAUAUUUAUUAAUAAUAGAGAAAAUAUAUCGGGUCUAAAUUAAUAACAGUAUUAUAGAUAUAAUCAUAAAGAUUAUAUGGUAGCAGAAUAUAUAAUGGAAAAUUAUAAAGAGAUUGCUGGCUUGAGUAACGAUAGAUAAUAUAAGAUUAUCCCCUUAUUCAUAAGGUUUUACUAUAAACGAACGGUCCCUAAGAUUAAUAUAGAAAUAUAUAAUUAAUGGGUAAAAGAACAAGAAAAUAAAAAUGAACCGUACUGUAGACCGACACAGGUAUGAUAAAAAGGGAAUGGGAUAACUACUUUGAAUGAACUCGGCGUGCGACUUGAUAAGUCUUAAUUAAUAGUAUAACAUUUUGGUUAUAUUGUGUAUCUUCCACAUUUGUCUACUUAAACAUGGAUUAUAAGUAAUUAUUUUGUAUGAAGCUUUAAGGAAUAAGUUAUUUAUUAAAAUAACUUGACACGAUACUUAUGGUGAAUGAAAAUGAAUCGAAUGUUUGAACAAUCGUAAUUAUAUUAAUAUGGGCCCCCGAAGGGGGCCCUUAUAAUACCCCCCUUCGGGGGGAUAUAUUAGGUAAUUGAUUUAAGUAUGUCGAGUGCUUAAAUGAAGAUCAAAUAAUACCAACGAUUGAUAAUUCGGCACCUAAAAGUUGAACUGAUAUUAAUUAAGGAACAAGGUAAGCCCAAUAUUUCUCAUAAAAAAAAAGAUAGAUAAUUUAUUUACCCGCCCACUUUAUGUGGGCGGGUUUUUAUCUUUAUUUAUGAGUAGUUUAUUAUAAAAUAAGUAAUUAUGGAAAUAUAAAUAUAUAAUAUUGGGUAAAAGAUAAUUGAAAAAGCAAAUGCUUAGUGGUAAUAACUAAGAUAGGAAUAAUUAUUCUAAUCCGAGAGGGUGCAGACUUCAAUUAGAUGACUCGCUAUUAAAAAUUAAUAGAGGUAACAAUAAAGGAAAAAUAAACAUAAAAUAACCUUCACUAUGUGAGAGUUAUCUCGGUAAAAAAGCUGAGUAAAAUUUUAUGUAAAAGAUACUAUAAAGUUACUGAAUAAUUGGGAAAACCAAUGAAAAAGGAGUUGUUUGAGCCGUAUGCGAUGAAAGUCGCAUGUACGGUUCUGAACGGGGGAAAAUCUGUGAGGAUCUACCUAUCGUAAUAAAAUAAAUCGUGCGACUGUUUACCAAAAACAUAGCUUAUUGCAUACUAGUAAUAGUAAGUAUAAUAAGUGAUAUCUGCCCGGUGUUAGUUUAAUAAAUAUUAUUAUUGUUUAGAUAAUUUUAUAAAAGACUGAUAAACGGCGGUCUUAUUGUGAGGAUCCGAAGGUAGCGGUGCGACAAGAUAAGUUCAUAAUAAGAAUAAGGUGAAAAUCCUUUACAAUUGUCAUAUUUGUAAACCUAACUCAACAUGCAUUAUAAGUAAUUAAUUUGUAUGAAGCUUGAGUGACAACGGCUAUAAACUUUAACUGAUAUAAGUGAUCUAGUCUAGGUUAGAACAACAUGAUUAGUAAAAACUAAAUAGUGUAUUAAAAUCUCGUUAUAGGUAAGUAACUUGUUCAGUAUUUGGUUACUUUAUGAUUAAAAUAAUAUUGACGCUACGAAUAUUAUUAUAUGACUGAAAUAAAAAAAUAUAAUCAUCGGGAUAUAGCUAUAAUCUAAAUUGUUCAUAAAGGUCUUAUUAUGGAAACUUGGUAAGCCUUAUACAUACCUAAUUUAAAUACCCCGCAUAUGCGGGGUUAUAUUUAGGAAGUAAUAUAUAAUAUUAAUGAACUCCCCGCCCACCAAAGGUGGGCGGGCUUUAUUUAAUAGAAAUUAUUAUAUAGUGUAGAAGGUAAAGGAUAAAUAUAAAAAGCUAAUGAUUUUAUGUAAUGUAAAAUAUAAAGUUAUUUAACUUAUUUCGAAAGAAAGCUGACUUAUAUAUAAGGCCAUUAAAAAAAAAAAUAAUAUAACAUUAUAAAUAAACGGUUUCCUUUAAGGGGCCCAUGUUUAUAAAAAGUUAUAUUAUAUUUAAGAUAAAAUAAUCAAGAUGAAAUCUUGAUGAUUAGGGGGGCCGUAGGCCCCCCCAUUAUGCCUACUAUAUAAAAAAAUAUAUAUCUAUUUUUUUUUAUGGAUAUAAGUAUAAUAGGGAAAUCUUAAAAAAUGGUUUGAGCCGUAUGCGAUGAAAGUCGCACGUACGGUUCUUAAGGGGGGAAAGCUUGAGAGGGCCUACCUAUCCUAACAAAUUCAUUGACGUAUAAUUGACGUCCUGCAUGAAUGAAUAUACGAUGCGAUAACUGUAUCCAAAGUAGACUCAGUGAAAUAGCAAUUGCGGUGAAAUUAGUACUAUAAUAUAUCUAUAUUAUACGCCGGGUUGGUGAAAAUCCAACUUUAUAGUUAAAAUACCCCCGCUAAGCGGGGGGGAUUUAAAAGUAUUAAAGAAUUAUCCGGUAUUUUCCGACAUAAUAAUUCAAAAAAAGAAUACAAUCGAAUAAUACUUAAUCCUUUAAAAGGGAUAAAUAACCCCGCCCACCUUUGGUGGGCGGGGAUGAUUAAUCCUCGGCUACGCCGGAGGAUAAAUUACAAAAGGCAAAAUGUAAUUUAAUAACUAUAAAUAAAAAGGUGAAAACGGUUAAUGAUAUCUUAGUUAAAGACCGUCGGCAGUUGUAUAUGUCGCUACAGACUGGUUCACCGAGGUUAGACUGAAAUGUCUGUCUAAAUGUACAGUCGGAUUCUGUAAUAUAAUAGAUAAAUAUAUGGGCCCGCCUUCGGCGGGCCUAAUGAUAUAUUUAUUUUUAUAUAAAGGUGAAAGAUUUAUCUAUUAUUUAGAUAUAACUUAUUAGUACAUAAGUAAGAAACCUUUGUAGGUCAAACCUACUUAAGUUAAUCAGAAUUGGAAGAUGCCGUAUUUCCGUAGGUUGACAAAAAGACCCUAUGCAGCUUUACUAUAUCUUUAUUUUGAUUUUUUAAUCAUAAUUUAAUUAUGAUUAACCCUUUUUUUAUUUAUUUCAGCAGAUUAGGUUAUAUUUAUAUUUUAAAUCAAAUGAGAUACCUAUAUAAAUAAAAAAAGAAUCUAAUUAAUAUAGUCAAAAUUCAAUAAAAAUUGAAUUGCCCUUAAAAAGGGUUAUUAAUAAACUAAUGACUUAAGUUUUAACUUAUUUAAGAAAGAGUAAAGAGGUUAGUUUCGAUGGGGCGUCGACAUCAGCGAAAGCAUCUGAUGUGUCUAAUAACAAAGAUCUUGAAUAUCAAGACUAAAUGUUUAAUUAAAUUAUUUAUUUAAUAGUAAAUAACGUACAAUAAUUCUAUAUGGUAAAUAGAAUAAAAAGAUAUGAUAGGUAUUACCUAUUUUUAAAUUUUAUCUUAUCCCCGCUAAGCUUAGCGGGGUAUAUAAGUAAGGAUAACAACAUAAUUGUGCGAUGAUAAUAACACAAACAAGUGGAAUUAGUACUUACGUAGAGUGUAGUGAACAGGCAUAAACAAAUGGUAUGGAUGUCGAUAACGGAUUAACCGCGUGAGAGUUGAUAUCGUCAGCGGUGUUUGCCACCUCGAUGUCGUCUAGACUCGUCCUCCUGGUCGCAGCAACUAGGUAGGGUAGGACUGUUCGUCCUCUAAGGAGUUACUUGAGAUGGGUUAAUUACGACGUGAGUCAGUAAUGAUUUUAUCAUCUAUGGAUUUUUUUCUUAUCUGUUGCCUUAAGUGUACGCAAGGAUAAUAAGGUACAUUCCUAUGGUUAAUUAUUUAAUUUAGCUAAGAAUGUUGUGUUUACAUAUUGAAUGCAUAUCAAAUAUUAAAUCCUUCAGAUAAGUUUAUACAUUAUAGACUAUAAUGUUUUAGUUAAUUUGUGAUUUUCGCAUAUUUACUAAUUAAAUUAUUUAUAAUACUUAUAUUAUAAAUUAAAAUACAUAUACCU